UCCUGGACUCAAGUGAUCAGCCUACCUUGACCUCCCAAAGCUCCAGGAUUACAGAUGUGAGUCACCAUGCCUGGAGCCAAGACAACAAAUAUUCUUCAGUGCCAUCUCUGAGCCAGGCAUUGCUCAAAGUGAACAAGAUAAAGUCCCUGAGCUCUUGAAGCUAACAUUCUAGUUGGAAAGCCAGUGAACUCUAACAGAUGUGAAACUAGAAUAUGCAAUAUGACACAAUCUCAGCAACCAAACAGAUGAGGGAAGUUUGUUGGAAAACAAGGCUCAUCGCGCAAAACUGACAAGCACCACCACAGCAGAACACAGCAAGAUCCCCACUAGAGGCCAGCUCACUUGAGCUCACACCAACUGUCCCUUUCAGGCUCAGCCCAACUUUUCAUUUUCAAGAAGAAAUAAACAUUCAACCUCCUUA